GGGAAUGUGACUUAGUGGUAGAGUGCAUGCCUCAUAUGCAUGAAGCUCUGGGUUCAAUUCUU
rnacentral:tRNA from 1 species